rnacentral:rRNA from 1 species
GACGAACGCUGGCGGCGUGCUUAACACAUGCAAGUCGAACGGGCCCGCUCUCUUUUUUGGGGGUGGGUUGAGUGGCGAACGGGUGAGUAUCACGUGAGUAACCUGCCCCCUGCUCCUGGAUAACUGCUUGAAAGGGCGGCUAAUACGGGGUGUGCCGGCUGGUCCGCAUGGGCCUGGUCGGGAUAGUUUCAUCUUCGGGUGUUUCGGUGGGGGAUGGGCUCGCGGCCUAUCAGCUUGUUGGUGGGGUGAUGGCCCACCAAGGCGGUGACGGGUAGCCGGCCUGAGAGGGUGGGCGGCCACACUGGGACUGAGACACGGCCCAGACUCCUGCGGGAGGCAGCAGUGGGGGGUAUUGCACAAUGGGCGGAAGCCUGAUGCAGCGACGUCGCGUGAGGGAUGGAGGCCGUCGGGUGGUGAACCUCUUUCUCCGGUGGUGAAGGCCCUGUCCGUUGCGGCGGGGUUGACGGUAGCCGGGUAUGAAGCGCCGGCUAACUACGUG